UGGCUCAGGACGAACGCUGGCGGCGUGCCUAACACAUGCAAGUCGAACGGAACUGUUUUGAAAGAUUUCUUCGGAAUGAAUUUGAUUUAGUUUAGUGGCGGACGGGUGAGUAACGCGUGAGUAACCUGCCUUCGAGAGGGGGAUAACAUUCUGAAAAGAAUGCUAAUACCGCAUGACAUAUCGGAACCACAUGGUUCUGAUAUCAAAGAUUUUAUCGCUUGAAGAUGGACUCGCGUCCGAUUAGUUAGUUGGUGAGGUAACGGCUCACCAAGACCGCGAUCGGUAGCCGGACUGAGAGGUUGAACGGCCACAUUGGGACUGAGACACGGCCCAGACUCCUACGGGAGGCAGCAGUGGGGGAUAUUGCGCAAUGGGGGCAACCCUGACGCAGCAACUCCGCGUGAAGGAUGAAGGUUUUCGGAUUGUAAACUUCUUUUAUUAAGGACGAAAAUUGACGGUACUUAAUGAAUAAGCUCCGGCUAACUACGUGCCAGCAGCCGCGGUAAUACGUAGGGAGCAAGCGUUGUCCGGAUUUACUGGGUGUAAAGGGUGCGUAGGCGGCUUUGCAAGUCAGAUGUGAAAUCUAUGGGCUCAACCCAUAAACUGCAUUUGAAACUGUAGAGCUUGAGUGAAGUAGAGGCAGGCGGAAUUCCCCGUGUAGCGGUGAAAUGCGUAGAGAUGGGGAGGAACACCAGUGGCGAAGGCGGCCUGCUGGGCUUUAACUGACGCUGAGGCACGAAAGCGUGGGUAGCAAACAGGAUUAGAUACCCUGGUAGUCCACGCUGUAAACGAUGAUUACUAGGUGUGGGGGGUCUGACCCCUUCC
rnacentral:rRNA from 1 species